rnacentral:tRNA from 1 species
GGCGCAUUCGUCUAAUGGUUAGGAAGCAAGGUUCUCAACCUUGAAACAGGGGUUCAAUUCCCCUAUGCGCUACCA